CCUACGGGUGGCAGCAGUGAGGAAUAUUGGUCAAUGGUCGUAAGCCUGAACCAGCCAAGCCGCGUGAGUGAUGAAGGUCCUAUGGAUCGUAAACCUCUUUUAUAAGGGAAUAAAGUGCGGGACGCGUCCCGUUUUGUAUGUACCUGAUGAAUAAGGAUCGGCUAAAUCCGUGCCAGCAGCCGCGGUAAUACGGAGGAUCCGAGCGUUAUCCGGAUUUAUUGGGGUUAAAGGGUGCGUAGGCGGCCUUUUAAGUAAGCGGUGAAAGUCUGGGGCUCAACCCUAGCAUUGCCGUUGAAACUGGGAGGAUUGAGUAUGUUAGAGGUAGGCGGAAUGCGUGGUGUAGCGGUGAAAUGCUUAGAUAUCACGCAGAACCCCGAUUGCGAAGGCAGCCUGCC
rnacentral:rRNA from 1 species